CUAGCCAGAGACAGCACACAGUACCAGCUUUUCCUGUGGUGUCAGCUUCGUGGGUGUGGGAUGGAGACAGGAUCCAGGUGUCAUCUUCAAGCCUGUGAACCUGUAAGCACAGCUGCUUCAGCACUGGAAGCUGGAUUCGUAUCUUCAUAUAUUAUUUAUUGAACAAAUAAUUCCAUAAUGUUUCUUGUAUGCCGGCCGUGCUUCUAAGAAGAUCGCAAAUAUUAACUUCUCCUGCCCUUCAGAAUCCCAAGUUUA
rnacentral:lncRNA from 1 species